CUUCACGGAACCCAGCCACAGCGGGUUGUCGUCCGCCCGGGCCUGGCCGUACGCGGACAUGAGCGCCCGCGCCUC
rnacentral:antisense_RNA from 1 species